rnacentral:rRNA from 1 species
UACAGGGGGGGCAAGCGUUGUUCGGAAUUACUGGGCGUAAAGGGCUCGUAGGCGGCCAACUAAGUCACACGUGAAAUCCCCAGGCUUAACCUGGGAACUGCGUGUGAUACUGGAUGGCUUGAAUUCGGGAGAGGGAUGCGGAAUUCCAGGUGUAGCGGUGAAAUGCGUAGAUAUCUGGAGGAACACCGGUGGCGAAGGCGGCAUCCUGGACCGGCACUGACGCUGAGGCGCGAAAGCCAGGGGAGCAAACGGG